GCGUGUGUCGUAUAGUCAGGUUAUUACCUCUGGCUUCCACCCAGAUGACUAGGGUUCGAAUCCCUACACCCGCACCA
rnacentral:tRNA from 1 species